rnacentral:rRNA from 1 species
CUUUACUGUAGCUUUGUAUUGGACUUUGAACAGAUCUGUGUAGGAUAGGUGGGAGGCUUUGAAGUGCGGUCGCUAGAUCGCAUGGAGCCAACGUUGAAAUACCACCCUGGUGUGUUUGAGGUUCUAACCUGGGUCCCUUAUCGGGAUCGGGGACAGUGCAUGGUAGGCAGUUUGACUGGGGCGGUCUCCUCCCAAAGCGUAACGGAGGAGUUCGAAGGUACGCUAGUUACGGUCGGACAUCGUGACGAUAGUGCAAUGGCAUAAGCGUGCUUAACUGCGAGACUGACAAGUCGAGCAGAUGCGAAAGCAGGACAUAGUGAUCCGGUGGUUCUGUAUGGAAGGGCCAUCGCUCAACGGAUAAAAGGUA